GGGCUCGUAGAUCAGGCUGGUAGAUCGUCCGCUUGGCGUGCGGGAGGCCUCGGGUUCAAAUCCCGACGAGUCCA
rfam:Candidatus Altiarchaeales archaeon WOR_SM1_86-2 WORSMTZ_28309, whole genome shotgun sequence.